rnacentral:rRNA from 1 species
AUUGAACGCUGGCGGCAUGCCUUACACAUGCAAGUCGAACGGCAGCGCGGGAGCAAUCCUGGCGGCGAGUGGCGAACGGGUGAGUAAUAUAUCGGAACGUGCCCAUUAGUGGGGGAUAGCCCGGCGAAAGCCGGAUUAAUACCGCAUGCGACCUGAGGGUGAAAGCGGGGGAUCGCAAGACCUCGCGCUAUUGGAGCGGCCGAUAUCAGAUUAGCUAGUUGGUGGGGUAAAGGCCUACCAAGGCAACGAUCUGUAGUUGGUCUGAGAGGACGACCAGCCACACUGGGACUGAGACACGGCCCAGACUCCUACGGGAGGCAGCAGUGGGGAAUUUUGGACAAUGGGCGCAAGCCUGAUCCAGCAAUGCCGCGUGCAGGAAGAAGGCCUUCGGGUUGUAGACUGCUUUUGUCAGGGAAGAAAUCCUUUGGGCUAAUACCUCGGAGGGAUGACGGUACCUGAAGAAUAAGCACCGGCUAACUACGUGCCAGCAGCCGCAGUAA